GAUGAGCGCUGGCGGCGUGCCUAAUACAUGCAAGUCGAGCGAACAGACGAGGAGCUUGCUCCUCUGACGUUAGCGGCGGACGGGUGAGUAACACGUGGAUAACCUACCUAUAAGACUGGGAUAACUUCGGGAAACCGGAGCUAAUACCGGAUAAUAUAUUGAACCGCAUGGUUCAAUAGUGAAAGACGGUUUUGCUGUCACUUAUAGAUGGAUCCGCGCCGCAUUAGCUAGUUGGUAAGGUAACGGCUUACCAAGGCAACGAUGCGUAGCCGACCUGAGAGGGUGAUCGGCAACACUGGAACUGAGACACGGUCCAGACUCCUACGGGAGGCAGCAGUAGGGAAUCUUCCGCAAUGGGCGAAAGCCUGACGGAGCAACGCCGCGUGAGUGAUGAAGGUCUUCGGAUCGUAAAACUCUGUUAUUAGGGAAGAACAAAUGUGUAAGUAACUAUGCACGUCUUGACGGUACCUAAUCAGAAAGCCACGGCUAACUACGUG
rnacentral:rRNA from 1 species